UACGGAGGAUGCGAGCGUUAUCCGGAUUUAUUGGGUUUAAAGGGUGCGCAGGCGGGCUAUUAAGUCAGCGGUGAAAUAUUCAGGCUCAACCUGAAGACUGCCGUUGAAACUGUUAGCCUUGAGUAUAGAUGAAGUAGGCGGAAUUCGUUGUGUAGCGGUGACAUGCUUAGAUAUAACGAGGAACUCCGAUUGCGUAGGCAGCUUACUAAACUAUAACUGACGCUCAUGCACGAAAGCGUGGGGAUCAAACAGGAUUAGAUACCCUGGUAGUCCACGCCGUAAACGAUGAUUACUAGUUGCAUGCGAUAUGAUAGUAUGUGACCAAGCGAAAGCGGUAAGUAAUCCACCUGGGGAGUACGCCGGCAACGGUGAAACUCAAAGGAAUUGACGGGGGCCCGCACAAGCGGAGGAACAUGUGGUUUAAUUCGAUGAUACGCGAGGAACCUUACCCGGGCUUGAAAUGCAGAAGAAUAAUGAGGAAACUUAUUAGCUAGCAAUAGCUUCUGUGUAGGUGCUGCAUGGUUGCCGUCAGCUCGUGCCGUGAGGUGUCGGCUUAAGUGCCAUAACGAGCGCAACCCACAUCAUUAGUUACUAACAGGUCGUGCUGAGGACUCUAAUGAGACUGCCGUCGUAAGAUGCGAGGAAGGUGUGGAUGACGUCAAAUCAGCACGGCCCUUACGUCCGGGGCGACACACGUGUUACAAUGGGUGGUACAAAGGGCAGCUACCUGGUGACAGGAUGCUAAUCUCCAAAGCCACUCCCAGUUCGGAUCGGAGUCUGCAACUCGACUCCGUGAAGCUGGAUUCGCUAGUAAUCGCGCAUCAGCCAUGGCGCGGUGAAUACGUUCCCGGGCCUU
rnacentral:rRNA from 1 species